CCUACGGGUGGCAGCAGUGAGGAAUAUUGGUCAAUGGGCGGAAGCCUGAACCAGCCAAGUAGCGUGCAGGAUGACGGCCCUACGGGUUGUAAACUGCUUUUAUACGGGAAUAACGCGCCUUACGUGUAGGGCUUUGCAUGUACCGUAUGAAUAAGGACCGGCUAAUUCCGUGCCAGCAGCCGCGGUAAUACGGAAGGUCCGGGCGUUAUCCGGAUUUAUUGGGUUUAAAGGGAGCGUAGGCCGCAGGUCAAGCGUGCUGUGAAAUGUCCGGGCUCAACCCGGGCCUUGCAGCGCGAACUGGGGGGCGAGAGAGCAGGGGAGGGAGGCGGAAG
rnacentral:rRNA from 1 species